rnacentral:tRNA from 1 species
GCCGGAGUGGCGGAAUGGCAGACGCAGCGGACUCAAAAUCCGCCGGGCUUUGGCCUGUGGGGGUUCGAGUCCCCCCUCCGGCACCA